rfam:Thermoplasmatales archaeon SG8-52-1 WOR_8-12_8250, whole genome shotgun sequence.
GGGCUUGUAGAUCAGCUCGGAAGAUCGCCUCCUUGGCAUGGAGGAGGCCUCGGGUUCAAAUCCCGACAAGUCCA